AGAGUUUGAUCAUGGCUCAGAUUGAACGCUGGCGGUAUGCUUAACACAUGCAAGUCGAACGGUAGCAGGCCUUCGGGCGCUGACGAGUGGCGGACGGGUGAGUAACGCGUAGGAAUCUGCCUGGUAGUGGGGGACAACGUGGGGAAACCCACGCUAAUACCGCAUACGCCCUACGGGGGAAAGCGGGGGCUCUUCGGACCUCGCGCUAUCAGAUGAGCCUGCGUUAGAUUAGCUAGUUGGUAGGGUAAAGGCCUACCAAGGCGACGAUCUAUAGCUGGUCUGAGAGGACGAUCAGCCACACUGGGACUGAGACACGGCCCAGACUCCUACGGGAGGCAGCAGUGGGGAAUAUUGGACAAUGGGCGCAAGCCUGAUCCAGCAAUACCGCGUGUGUGAAGAAGGCCCUAGGGUUGUAAAGCACUUUCAAUGGGGAGGAAAACCUGCCGGUCAAUACCCGGCAACUUGACAUUACCCAUAGCAGAAGCACCGGCUAACUCCGUGCCAGCAGCCGCGGUAAUACGGAGGGUGCGAGCGUUAAUCGGAAUUACUGGGCGUAAAGCGUGCGUAGGCGGUUCGUUAAGUCAGAUGUGAAAGCCCCGGGCUCAACCUGGGAACUGCAUUUGAUACUGGCGGACUAGAGUUUAGUAGAGGGGAGUGGAAUUUCAGGUGUAGCGGUGAAAUGCGUAGAUAUCUGAAGGAACACCAGUGGCGAAGGC
rnacentral:rRNA from 1 species